AGGGAGGAUGAGUUGGUGAGCAGGAGACAUGAGGGCACUGGGUACGCCGUGUCCUUAAAAAGCCUCUGAGGAAGUAGAGGGAGAGGCAGGGAUGAGAGGAGAGGAUGAGCAGUGCGGCGUGGCUGGGAAAGAGCCUCUUUGCAACAAACUUGUCACAUGUACAACCAAGCAAUUUACAUCUGAUGCCUUAAAAACCCACGCAGACGGGGAGAACAUGCAGUGACAACAGCUUCAUUUGAUGUCAACUAAAAGAAUAAAGCUACAGAGAGAGAGAGAGAGGUGGAGGACAAGCAGCCAUUAUCAGUCUCUGCAUGUCAAGGAUAAAGAUUGCCCUUGAAGACGUCCUGAACGUGACGCAUUACAGAACUAUGCGAAAGUCGCGUUUAAUCACGUAAGUAAAAAAAAUAAUUUUUAUUCUUUAAAAAAAGUAAGACCUCGUACAGUGCAGAUAUAAAUGUCCAAGCAAACUGUGUCCCAGUUGCACACCAGCUAUGGUUGCAUGUGUGGAGGAGUGACUCCACCUCGGUAGCCUAGAUGGUGCUGUAUCUCUCUAUAAGCUAGUGCUGUAUCUCU